GACGAACGCUGGCGGCGUGCUUAACACAUGCAAGUCGAACGGAAAGGCCCUGCUUGCAGGGUACUCGAGUGGCGAACGGGUGAGUAACACGUGGGUGAUCUGCCCUGCACUUCGGGAUAAGCCUGGGAAACUGGGUCUAAUACCGGAUAGGAGCCAUUUUUAGUGUGAUGGUUGGAAAGUUUUUUCGGUGUAGGAUGAGCUCGCGGCCUAUCAGCUUGUUGGUGGGGUAAUGGCCUACCAAGGCGGCGACGGGUAGCCGGCCUGAGAGGGUGGACGGCCACAUUGGGACUGAGAUACGGCCCAGACUCCUACGGGAGGCAGCAGUGGGGAAUAUUGCACAAUGGGCGCAAGCCUGAUGCAGCGACGCCGCGUGGGGGAUGGCGGCCUUCGGGUUGUAAACUCCUUUCGCUAGGGACGAAGCUUUCUGUGACGGUACCUAGAUAAGAAGCACCGGCUAACUACGUG
rnacentral:rRNA from 1 species